UACGUAGGGAGCAAGCGUUGUCCGGAAUUACUGGGCGUAAAGGGCGCGUAGGCGGGUUAUUAAGUCAGAUGUGAAAACUCCGAGCUCAACUUGGAGACUGCAUUUGAAACUGGUAAUCUUGAGGUCAGGAGAGGAAAGUGGAAUUCCUAGUGUAGCGGUGAAAUGCGUAGAUAUUAGGAGGAACACCAGUGGCGAAGGCGACUUUCUGGACUGUACCUGACGCUGAGGCGCGAAAGCGUGGGGAGCAAACGGGAUUAGAUACCCCGGUAGUCCACGCCGUAAACGAUGGAUACUAGGUGUAGGAGGCAUCGACCCCUUCUGUGCCGCAGCUAACGCAAUAAGUAUCCCGCCUGGGGAGUACGGCCGCAAGGUUGAA
rnacentral:rRNA from 1 species